rnacentral:rRNA from 1 species
CGGCGGUGUCCACCUCUUCCCAUUCCGAACAGAGAAGUUAAGCCCGCCAGAGCCGAUGGUACUGCAGUAACAUGUGGGAGAGUAGGUCGGUGCCAGAU